UACGUAGGGGGCAAGCGUUGUCCGGAAUCAUUGGGCGUAAAGGGCGUCUAGGCGGUCCAGUAAGUCCUGCGUGAAAGCUCCCGGCUCAACUGGGAGAGCGCGUGGGAGACUGUUGGGCUAGAGACUCGGAGAGGGGUGUGGAAUUCCCGGUGGAGUGGUGAAAUGCGUUGAGAUCGGGAGGAACACCAGUGGCGAAGGCGGCACCCUGGCCGAGUUCUGACGCUGAAGCGCGACAGCGUGGGGAGCAAACGGG
rnacentral:rRNA from 1 species